rnacentral:rRNA from 1 species
GAUGAACGCUGGCGGCGUGCCUAAUACAUGCAAGUCGAGCGAACAGACGAGGAGCUUGCUCCUCUGACGUUAGCGGCGGACGGGUGAGUAACACGUGGAUAACCUACCUAUAAGACUGGGAUAACUUCGGGAAACCGGAGCUAAUACCGGAUAAUAUAUUGAACCGCAUGGUUCAAUAGUGAAAGACGGUUUUGCUGUCACUUAUAGAUGGAUCCGCGCCGCAUUAGCUAGUUGGUAAGGUAACGGCUUACCAAGGCAACGAUGCGUAGCCGACCUGAGAGGGUGAUCGGCCACCCUGGAACUGAGACACGGUCCAGACUCCUACGGUAGGCAGCAGUAGGGAAUCUUCCGCAAUGGGCGAGAGCCUGACGGAGCAACGCCGCGUGAGUGAUGAAGGUCUUCCGAUCGUAAAACUCUGUUAUUAGGGAAGAACAAAUGUGUAAGUAACUAUGCCCGUAUUGACGGUACCUAAUCAGAAAGCCCCGGCUAACUACGUG